UUAAAUUUAUUUCCAUGCUGUGGUACGUCUAAUCGGGAUGCAACGCUGGACAUUUUGAUGCGUGUGUGAUGUACGACUUAAAACAGCAAUCAUAGGUGUUGACUGGAGAUCACUAACGAUUCCGGCAUGUCUUCCUAUUACAACCGAUUAUUUUCCCGAUAAGAGGAGUCUGCAAAAUGAUUACGUCGUUUCGGAUUAUAAUUUAUUGCCGGACGACGUUAAUGCUGAUUUUGCACAGCAAAGGGCAAUUUAUAAAAAACCACUUACAACUGCAGAAGUCUUCAAAGAACUUGUUUCUCAAAGAUUGGCGCAGGGAUUUCAACUGAUCCUUUUACCACAGAAUAGUAAAAAUCAAAUAUCGACGCCUGGAAGUAAUAGUGCCCCUCCUAUUAGUUCAGUUAUGCGUGGCCGUCAAACAGAAUCUGAGCCAAAGGAAGAAUAUUUGUUGAGUAUAGGCCGAAUAUUCCAUAAAAUUUCCCUGUGUGGUAAUUCCAUAACUGUAACAAGAUACAGGCCAAGGCAUCCAUAUCCUCCAUUUAAUAUACACUAUCGUUAUCGAUUUCACGCACCUCAUCACGAUACAUACGAAGUUUCCUGGGUUUCUUUCACAACUGAGAAAUUAGAAAAUUACAACUGGAAUUACUUGGAUCAUUAUAUUUGUACUAGAGGCGAUACCGAUUUUUCUCUAG